rnacentral:misc_RNA from 1 species
AACCAGCCCCGAUUGAACGGCCUGUUUGAGCUCUUUUUUUGAUGUUGGAAUAUGUGGUGGCGAAAAAAAGCGAGUAGUGAAAGCGGGAUUUAGC